ACGGGAGGCAGCAGUGGGGAAUAUUGCACAAUGGGCGCAAGCCUGAUGCAGCGAUGCCGCGUGAGGGAAGAAGGUUUUCGGAUUGUAAACCUCUGUCAACAGGGACGAAAAUGACGGUACCUGUGAAGGAAGCUCCGGCUAACUACGUGCCAGCAGCCGCGGUAAUACGUAGGGAGCAAGCGUUAUCCGGAAUUACUGGGUGUAAAGGGAGUGUAGGCGGGACUGUAAGUCAGAUGUGAAAACCCAGGGCUCAACCCUGGGACUGCAUUGGAAACUGUCAAACUAGAGUGCAGGAGAGGUAAGUGGAGUUCCUAGUGUAGCGGUGAAAUGCGUAGAUAUUAGGAGGAACACCAGUGGCGAAGGCGGCUUACUGGACUGUAACUGACGUUGAGGCUCGAAAGCGUGGGGAGCAAACAGGAUUAGAUACCCUGGUA
rnacentral:rRNA from 1 species